rnacentral:rRNA from 1 species
CAGCCGUAAAUUAUGCGCGUUAGGUGUAUCGGUGACCACGAGUUACCGAGGUGCCGAAGGGAAACCGUGAAACGUGCCGCCUGGGAAGUACGGUCGCAAGGCUGAAACUUAAAGGAAUUGGCGGGGGGAGCACCACAACAGGUGGAGCCUGCGGUUUAAUUGGACUCAACGCCGGGAAGCUCACCGGAUAGGACAGCAGAAUGAUUGCCGGGCUGAAGACCCUGCAUGACUAGCUGAGAGGUGGUGCAUGGCGUAGACGUCU